rnacentral:rRNA from 1 species
GUCACACCUCACCAGACCUGACCGCGACUCUUCCCAUCGCUGGACCUCCACCAGAGCUACCUACCCACGCCGGCCGCCCCGCCGACUAUACUCCGGCUGCCGCCGCCGUCGCCACCACGCUCCUACCCGGACGCCGCUCCGAGCGCCUCCCCUCCAAACGCGCCGUAUUAACCCCUGCUCUUACAACCGAGGCCUACAGCUGCCGCCGUGCCCGUACCUUAGCGGCGUCACCGCCGACGCCUCAACCCCCCCUCCCUCCCCCCCACCCCACAUCCACCCAUCCACACGAAGCACCACGGCCUCUAAGGCGCGUUGCCUAGCCACCUCCGCCGUUCCCGUUCUUCCUCGUCGGGGCAUCGCGUUCCCGCUGCCCCCACCCCGUCCGCAGUGCUCACCCAUUUCGUCUAGAGGAGAUCGGCAUAUGGCUAGUAGCUCCAAUGGCCAUUGUCCAGCUAAUGGUGCAAAAGUUCUGCCUGGAAGGGGGAAGAAGAAUCAGGAGAAAUUACAGCUUGACAAAGAUGCAGCUUCUAGGGCCUGUCAAAAGGACAGGCAAUACAUUGAGAAAUUGGAAACUGAGCUGAGCAACUGCUAUCAGGAAAUUGACUAUUUGCAGGAUCAGUUAAAUAUCAGGAAUGUUGAAGCAAACAUCAUGGGGGAGCAUAUUCACGGCCUUGAACUGAAACUAACUGAACUUGAGAAAUUUCCUGAAAGAGUGAGAGUUAUGGACAAUGCUCUGAUGCGGUCUGAUUCUCAGUGCUGGCUUCUGAUGGAAGAAGUCCAAAGUAAAGAAGAGGAGCUGCAAAAGGCAGCCUUACAAAUAGAGAAGCUCGAAAGCGUAACUUUGGACAUGCAAUGUGAAAUUGAGAGUUUAAAACUUGAUUUGACUACGCUUGAGCAAAGACUUUUUGAUGCUGAGAGCUUUAGCCAGCAUACUGCCGAGUACAAAGUUAGAAUAGAGAAGCAACUGGGAGAACAUGAGCUCCAGCUGCAAGAGGCAUGGAAGACUAUUGAUCAUCUUGAGGGUGAGAAUAAACAACUGAAAAAAGAGUACUUGCCUGGAAGAGCUCCUAAACAAUCCUCUUCUACAGGCGUGGAGCAACUUGAUAAAACAGUGGAGCAUGAUGGUCAUGCAAACUAUGAAAGAGGUCAUGAAAUUCUUGAAAAGAUGGGGAAGCAAAAUGAAGAACCUGAACUUAUAAUUGAGCAGCUCAAGGUAGAACUUCGAGAACAAAAACUGAAAGCAAAGGAGGAUGCAGAAGAUCUCACUCAAGAAAUGGCUGAAUUGAGGUACCAGAUAACUGGCAUGCUUGAGGAAGAAUACAAGCGUCGGUCUUGCAUUGAGCAAGCGGCUAUUCAACAAAUUCAGCAGCUGGAGGCUCAGGUCUCCAAAGAGCAAAGGAAAUUGAGCGGAGCACUAAGACAACUGCAGGAAUCGCAUGAGCUAGCUGACACGCAAGCUACGGAGAUUAAGAAACUGAAGGAUGCUUUAGGGAGAUUGAACUCUGCAAUGAACCUCGGGAGGGUUUGCAAAUCUUGCUCUUGCGGGUUCUGUCCAAUGCUGGUAGAGUUGUCUAAUUGCUCGAUUGAAGGGUCGCUUGACCUCAGAUCUUCCGAUGCUAGCAACAUUGACGAAACACCACCGGAGAACCAAGCGCUAGUAGAGUGGCAUCCCGAUGAAGCUUCAGAUGGUGCCGCAGUAAAUAAUGUAGGAUGCUAGAUGCAUAUGCACUCAUGUGGGCAGUUGCUGUAUAUAAUUCUUUGUGCCACUGUUGUUUGUAGAUGCAUUUGUAACCUUAGUGAGCUAUUUUACUUACAGAUUACCACUUGAGUUAAGCUCCAACGGCAGCGCGAAUGUAACUUGUAAAAGCUUCAUAUGUAUCGUCUCAGAUUCAGCCUCAGGACUCACAAGGAUGUUACAUGUAUUAGCAUACACAGAUUUGCCAAAUGAGAAUGUUGUAAGUGGCAUGAGUUUGGUGUGUACACGUGGUUUG